UGAAAAACUACGAAGAAAACUAGUAAAAUCAACGAUCGACACAGAGAAAGCUAUUAUUGCUGAAAUUAGCUUGAGAGAGUGGUUUGAAUUUCAUUUUCUGAGUUGUCAGCCGGGAUUUGACGUAUGUCGGUGAAAGGUUGGCCGGUUAAAGCCGUUAUUAAGUUGAGAGUUGAAGAAGAGUUUCUUCAAAAUUAGGGUGGUAUCGCGUACCUCGUCCCUUUA
rnacentral:ncRNA from 1 species